UACGUAGGGUGCAAGCGUUGUCCGGAAUUACUGGGCGUAAAGGGCGCGUAGGCGGCCUGUUAAGUCGAACGUGAAAUCCCCGGGCUCAACCCGGGAACUGCGUCCGAUACUGGCAGGCUUGAAUUCGGGAGGGGAUGUGGAAUUCCAGGUGUAGCGGUGAAAUGCGUAGAUAUCUGGAGGAACACCGGUGGCGAAGGCGGCAUCCUGGACCAAUAUUGACGCUGAGGAGCGAAAGCCAGGGGAGCAAACGGG
rnacentral:rRNA from 1 species